CCCGCUACUCAGGCUCCGCCUUGCCCGAGCUCCCCCCGCCCUCGCCGCCAGCUGCGUUGCCCGAGGCCGCCCAGUCCCAGCCAGCUCGUUGGUCGCUGGUGAGUAACCUCCCCUCUGCUCCCUCUCAGAUCCCAACCUCAGCCACCAGCUCGCGGUCGCUGCCAUGUGCCCCGUGAGGCCAAUUCGCUGGCUCUCCCGAUCGCCAGCUAGCCUCCCGUAUCCCUCCUCGCCCGCAGCUAGGCACUGCUCCGCCGUCCUACGCGUGACGCUGACCGACAGGUUUCCCACCUCGGCCUUGGGAUUAUAAGCGCUGCUUAUGUAUGUGCCAUUCUGGUUAAUUAGUCAUGUGUAGUUGUACGCUCACGCUAUCACUCGCCUCGACCACGAGAAUAUAUGCUUCCAGCUGACUAAGAGAGGACGUUCCGUUUGGGUCUGAAUUUGCCUUCCUAUGGUUAGUCUGCACUAAUAUGUGCUGCCCUGAAAUACACUGCCAUGUUUUGGCAAGCGAUUUGAAGCUAGCGUGGUGUAUUUUCGCAGGUGAUUGCUUUAAUCGAAUUUUGCAAGCAAUAUGAAGCCAGCAUGUCGUGUUUAUUUUCUUUUUUUUGAAAGGUCGCAUGUCGUGUUUCUUGCUAGAGUGGUGGCAAUUAGAUGUAAACAAUACUUGUCGUGUUCAGUUUAAAUGAUUUAAGGAAGAUUUGAUUUUUCCCACACAAAAAAGGAAGACUUGAUUUGCUGCCCCUAACUGAAUAUAUAUGUAAUCAAACAAUGGAUAUUGAAUAAAUCCAUCAUAGUCAGACGUAACAUUGGCGUGUCAAAUGUUUUGGGAUCCAGGUAAUAAUUUAGUUUACCUACCAAAUUGCAUUACUAACAAAAUAAAUUGCAAUCAUGACAGGAGUAUGCUUUUCUCCUGAAGCUUCUAGCUGAAGAACCGUUGUCCCUCAUUUCAUUAUAGGAAAUUGCAUUACUAACAUAGUACAACUAACAUGUGUCUAGCUGAAGAGCCCUUGUCCCUCAUUUCAUGUAUGUAUGCUUUUCUCCUGAAGUUUGCAUGAGUUUUGCUUGUUUAUCAAGAUCAAGUUAGGGCUAUAUAUACGUCCAAAUUCAGAUCACAAUGGUGCCCAACAAGGAGGGAAUCAGCUGGACAAGGGAAGAAGCCUGGAAGUUAAGGAAAAUGGUUUAUAAUGGACAACUGCUUCUGAUUUUCAGUUUACAUAGCCAGGUUUGUAACAGACAGUAUCUCCAUAAAUUCAUAUACUGUCCUUGACUGGAUGCAGUUUUAUACUGAGGAAGUUUUUCGUUUG